UCAUCCCUUCUUCCUCAAUUUGAGAAAACAAAAAGCGAAAUAAUCUCUUCUUCUUCUUCUCCUUCUGCGAAGACGACGAUGAUCUAUCCAUGUCGAGACGAUGAUAAGCCACUUUCUAUCUCUCUCUCAGCCCUCCAUCAUCACUCGGUAGAAACCCUAAUCCGCAAGAUUGAUCGGCGAAGCAUCUCACGGUUUCUCAAAACCCUAAAUUCUCUGGACGGAUCGUAAUUCUUCUCGAACAUGGCGCGUCUCUUAUUCACCCACCGCCUACUCCGCCCUUCUUCUUCUUCGGUUUCGAUUUCUAUUUCGAUUUCGGUUUCCUCUCUCUCGUAGUCUUCUAGGGUUACAGGUUUUUCAAUCGGGCUCUUAAUUAAGCUCUAACAGAGGAUCUCUCCGGUGUUCUUUGCGAUGGGUUUCACGGGAUCUUCUCUCUGUCCAAAGCGUGGGUGCGGAUCACACACAGCAGGAGUAGCUCCGAGAUGGUUUUGAAGAAUCAACCACAGGAGAAGAUGAUCUUGUUUGCGCAUUGCCAAACAGUUUUAUAGUUGUGACUUGUGAGAAGGUUCCAUGGAUGUAGCAGGACAACAGUUGGCUCUUGCUCGCUGCUGGUUCCGACGACAACAGUUGGCUCUCUCGUUCAAUCUGUGUUCUCGCUGCUGGUGCAGAGGAUAAAAAGCAAGCCUCAGGAUAUUAAUCAAGUUACUCCUCCUCCUACCGAAUCAAGUUACUCCUCCUCCUCCUACAUACACAGAGGAUCUCUCCUGUUCUUUGUUUGCCAACUUCUCUCGUCCAAAGCGUGGUGGGGAAUCACAGGUGGUUAUGUAAUCUGAUUCACGAGUAUCAUCAAGCCAAUUACAGGACAAGGUGAUCUUGUUUGCGCAUUGCCAAACAGUUGAGCAGGACAACAUGAUUGACACGGCAGGUGGGUUCUAAGAUAUAGAGCCGUUAGAACCAGUAGCUAUAAUACAGAGUCUGAGCGUAUUUGGAGCAUCGUCUUUUUCCCCUUGUCUGAAAUCAAAAUGGAACAGAUGUUUCCGCACUUUCAGAGGAGUGAGGACUGAUCUAAGCUUUGGUGGGCGUUGAUUGAUUUAUUUGACUCUAUCUCGGUGAUUCAGAACACAAAACGUCGCCAGCGAUCUUAAGGUAACAACAUAAACUGGUUUUGAGGAAUGGACAAGUUUCAUAACCAAAAUUUGUCAUCUUAAUCUGAUUUACGAGUAUCAUCAAGUCAACCACAGGAGAAGGUGGUCUUAUUUGCGCAUUGCCAAACAGUUGAGCAGGUGUGUUCUCUUAUUCGAUUUCCACUACUCAUUAGUCAGUUUGCAUUUUCUGUAUAUAGUUUGAGAUUAAUUGCUUCUCUGGAUUUUAUGGUUUCGAGUUGUGCGAAUCUUCAAGGGCUCUUGCUCGCUGUUGGUGCCGCGGUAAAAAGAAGUCUUUCAUGCAAUCACCGCGCAAGCCUCAGGAUAUUAAUCAAGUUACUCCUCCUCCUACCAAAUCAACCAUAGAGGUUUUUCAAGAACACGUUUGGAAGACCUCGAUUUACAAGAACACAACACAGCCUCCGUUCCGAGCCAGCCAAGCAAUGGCCAAGGAGAUGCCCUUGUUAGCCUUCAAUCGGGGGCUCCUAAGCUCUCUAAACAUACGCAGAGGAUCUCUCCGGUUCUUGGUUUGGGUUUUACGGGAUCUUUGAAUUUAGCUAUUUGAUGAGUUCCAAAGAUUGAGCACACUCAGCAUUUUGUUAGGAAAAUAUAUAAUCGGGUGGCUUCGCUGGCUGCGCAACACUGUCGAAUUCAAGAUUUCCGUUUUGACUUUGCUAGGGGGUGGUGGGCGUUGAUUGAUUUAUUUCACUCUCUCUCUCUCUCUCUCUCUCUCUCGUUGAUUCAGAAGUCUGAAGACAAUCUUCGCCAACGUGAUUUUAAAGGUCAAGGAGAUCAUCAUCAUUCAAGGUAGAGACCAGUCGAGGACUUCAAGAAAAGCAUCAAACUGCUAGAAAGAUAGCUAGUCUUCUGAGAAAUCCAUACUGCACUCGGGCCAAAAAAAAGCAAAAACCAGUCACAGUUGUCUGAAGCCAAAUGCAGUCAUCAGCAAAAUGUGAAAGGGGAAAUGAGUGUUAAAAACUUAGCUAGCACUACCAAACUGAUGGGAAAAUCAACACAGGUGAGCCUGGUAACCAAAUAGUUAGGUUGAAGAUUUCAGAGAUAUGCAGUAUUAUUGACAGUCUGUAUUACUAGCUGAACAAAUUUAGCACGCAUGGGAAACGAUGUGGCUUUCCUGAAAGAGUAGCUCGGCCAUUGCUUGACAUAAGAUAUGUUUACCAUUUGGAUUUUGAACAUUUUGAAAGUUGGAAAGAGAUAGUAAGGUGAAGCAGACAGAUCAAAGAGUAUAUUAUAUUUACACUCUGAUGAUUUGUUCAGAGACCAUCUACAUCACUAUACUUGCUCUUCAGUUGGAUAGAGACCAAUUCCUCUUUAUUUUUAAAGGAUCUUCUGGUCCUAUUGAAACAUGUUUAGUAUUUACCUUUCCCUGUCAAUCAAAACACGCAGAAAGAGUUUUUGUCACAAUUUGUUGUAUCAGAGAGGAGUUCUAAAAUAAAGGGUUCCUGUUGAGACGUUA